rnacentral:lncRNA from 1 species
GUAUUUUUGAAAUAUUUUUUGACACCUGUGACGUCUCUCGUUCCCAGAGUAUGCCUGUUCGCGGGUUAUGUAGUGCUGUGACGUCAUUUCAUACGGGACUUCUUCUUCACUACAGAGUUUUUGGCGGGAAAAUUUGUAAUGUUUCAGAGAAGACAAGAUAGCGCCGGUGGACGGUGGUUCAUACUUCGUGUCAUCAAAGGGCAUUUUUGUUCACAAAUACCCGCUUAUUUUACGUUAUGGCGACUCGUUAGUUUUGGAAAUUAUAACUCAAUGGACAGGGAAAACGAUUCUGUAGUUAAAAGAGAACAUUAUUGUGAUGUUUAUAUUUGUUGUGAAAGACGGCCGGAAAUUUCGCUUCGUCACUGUACUGGUUUAUAAAAAAUUCUACUGGAAAUUCGACCAUGGAUAAACAGACAACGUUUGAAUAAAAGGAGAGCCUGUAUUAUUGGUAAGUUUUUAAAGGAUUUUCAGUAAUAUUUGUUAGUUUAAAGCUCUUCUCUCGAAGCUAUACUUCGGUAGGGAGCGUAGAGUCAGUAGACAAUUUUGGCUAACGUUGGUUCAAAUACAUCUCGUUGCUACCUAAUUCAUAACUCUACGUAAAUCACAUGCCCAUAAGUAUUUUUUCUUUGUUAUUAUUAUACGACUUUGGAACACCAUUUUACAUUUGUUUUUGUUGAACACCAUUUUACAUGCUGUAAACUUUGUAAAGUCCGUAAUGAAAACAAAAUACUUUGUUUAGGGUUUGCGGUUAGGUUGCGGGGUUAGCAGGUGGGGUUAGGGGUCAGGGGCCAGGAGGUGGGGUUAGGAUUAGGGUUAGGAUUAGGGUUUGGGUUAGGAUUAGCGUUUGGAUUGGAAGUAUACAUCAUGCGCGACUGACAGUCGCCAUUUACUCGCAUACUUUACCGACUAUAUAGUCAUGUGGAUAUGGUCGUACCGGCUGUAUAAUCCCCUAUUAAAUUUUUAUGAGCAGAACUGAUGCGCAGAACGGACUUUACGGCAUCUUUAAUAUAAAAGAAAGUAUUUUGGCGUGUUCGGUGACUUUAAAUUAUCAUUUAAUAUUAUAUAUUUGAAACAUAACAAGACAUAAAUUUAUAUAGCAAGGAAUAAAAUUUUAUGUACAAGUAAUUUUUCCAGGGGAACACCACAAUUUUGCCUGAGAUAGGUCUUAUAUAGGGCACAAUGCAGCUUAAAUAGGCAUAAUACUGUAGGUAAAUAACUACACAUAUGAGCAAUCUGAUUAACACAUUGAGUGACAGCACUCUCCUUAUCUAUCCAAGUUUUUAAAUUGCUUUUCAAGAGUUUAUUGUAUUAUAAAACAGAUUUUUAAAGAGAAUUCAAUCCAACAGUAAUUUGGUUAAUUUUGUGCAUUCACUAUAUGGCGGUAUCAGUUAGACAACGAUACAAUGCUUUUUGUUUUGUUUUGUUUUGGGAACGAAUUUGAGGACUCCCCAGGAACCGAGACAUGUUGUUGUAUUGAAUUCAAAUAAAAACUAGCAUAAUGACAGUCAAAUCCUGUGUUCCAUUGCCAGCAACAUUGCAAUAUUGAUUGCUCUGGCAAGUUGCAACCAACGUGAACAAAUUGCAAUUUUUAUGUACAGUUGAAAUUAUUGGGCAUGUUGACAAUUUGUUGAGAGGUUGUGCCCAAAUUUCAGAUGCCAAACAUUUGAUUGGCUUGUUUUGUACUAGUAGUCAGUCAGAUUUUGUGUACAAACUUGCUUCCAAAUCAUAUUAUGAAUUUUUGCAUUUUGCAGUGGCGGUUUAACACUGUUGCCGUAUGUAAAAAUUUGCUAGAGCAAUCAGCCAAUCAAUAUUGCAUAUGCAAUGUUGCCCGCAACGGAAUUAACACCGAAUUUGAUUGCAAUUACACAUGUAUGUGUCUAAUUCAUCCUCAAAUGAAGACUGAAUGAGUGAACGUUCAUCUAUCUAAGGUUCUAAUGGCACUACUGUGUAUAAGUUCCAAAUCUGGUUAAGCCAUAUUUUUAUAUACAAAGAAUAAAUUAUUAACCAAUUACAUUGUCCCAUUCAAUACAGUUUAGUCGCACGUAGUAAUUUGAAUUACACAACAAGAUAUUUUCUUUAUUGUAAACAAUAUCUUACAGUAUUUUGAAAUAUUGUUUAAUUCACUUCUAUUAAAUGUGUUUAACCCUUUAACUGGGUAAUAUACAUGUACCUAAAACCUCCGACUAUAUAAGCCCAGGGCUUAUUUCAUAAGCGAUUUUUGAUGGGCUUCUCCCUUUAAUGAGUAAAAUGACCUGCCAUUAGUCAUUUUUUACAAUAAUAAAGUUGGGUGCAUUACGCAGCUAAUCAAUUAAUCUUUCUUAUCUUAGACAACGUCAAUUCAGCUAUGUAACAAAAUACCAAUGGGUACAGGCCAAUCCAGUCCAACGUAUUGUCAUUUUGGGAUGCUGUAAAAUAGUUCAGUUGGAUUUGCAGAUGAAGUACUUGAAAAGG